UACGUAGGGUGCGAGCGUUGUCCGGAAUUAUUGGGCGUAAAGAGCUUGUAGGCGGUUUGUCGCGUCUGCUGUGAAAACCCGGGGCUCAACUCCGGGCCUGCAGCCGAUACGGGCAGACUAGAGUUCGGCAGGGGAGACUGGAAUUCCUGGUGUAGCGGUGAAAUGCGCAGAUAUCAGGAGGAACACCGGUGGCGAAGGCGGAUCUCUGGGCCUGUUCUGACGCUGAUGCGCGAAAGCUAGGGGAGCGAACGGG
rnacentral:rRNA from 1 species